rnacentral:rRNA from 1 species
UAAAAGAUUCUUAAUAAAAUUAAUUGAAAUUUUAUAAAUUAAAUUUAUUUAAAAUAAUAUUUAUUUUAAUUUGUUAAAGUAUAAUUUUUAAAAAAAAUAAAAAUAUUUAUAGUUAAUGAGUAUUGUAAAAGAAAGAUGAAAUAAUAUAAAAAUAAUUAUUAAAAAAGUAGAUUUAAUUUAUUUUAUCUUGUGUAUCAGAGUUUAUUAAAUAAAAUUUAUGUAAAAUAAAUUUUUCGAAAUUAAAAGAUUUAUUUUUUUAAUUUAUUUAUUGUAAAAUAAAUAUUAAUAAUAAAAAAAUAGAAAUGAAAUGUUAUUCGUUUUUAAUUAUAUCUAAUUAUUUAAGAAAUAAUUUUAAUUUAUUUAAUUUAUAUUAAAAUAAUAAUAAUAUAAAAAUUAAUAUAAAUUAAAAUAUUAAUUAAGGGAUAAGCUUUAAUUAAAAAAAUUAAAUUUAAAUUUAAUUUUUAAAAAAUUAUAAAAAUAAAAUUUUUAAUUAUUUUUAGUUUUUUAUAAAAAAUUUUUAAAAAAAAUAAAAUUUAAUUACUUAAAAUUAAUUUAAAUAAUAAUAAUAUAUUAAAUUUUUAUAUUUAAUUAUUAAAUAUAAUUAAUAAUGAUAAAAUAAGUAUAUAAAAAUUUAUAAAUUAUUUUAAUAAAUAUUAAAAUUAAUAUUAAAAUUAAGGAAUUCGGCAAAAUUUUAUAUUCACCUGUUUAUCAAAAACAUGUCUUUUUGGAAUUUUAUUUUAAAGUCUAAUCUGCUCACUGAAUUUAUAUUUAAAGAGCUGCAGUAUAUUAACUGUACAAAGGUAGCAUAAUAAUUUGUUUUUUAAUUAAAAACUAGAAUGAAUGAUUGAAUGAGAUAUAUACUGUCUCAAUUUUAUAAAUUAAAAAUUAAUUUUUUAGUUAAAAAGCUAAAAUAUUUUUAAAAGACGAGAAGACCCUAUAGAUUUUUAUAUAAAAAUCUAAAUUUUAAAUUAUUUAUAAAUAAUAUAUUUAUUUUUAAAGUUUUAUCUUUUAUUGGGGUAAUAAAAAAAUUAAAAAAACUUUUAUUAAAUAUAAACAUAAAUUAAUGAAAUUUUGAUCCAUUUUUAAUGAUUAUAAGAUUAAAUUACCUUAGGGAUAACAGCGUAAUUUUAAUUUUAAGUUCAUAUUGAAAUUAAAGAUUGCGACCUCGAUGUUGGAUUAAGAAAAAUUUUAAAAGAAGAAUUUUAAAUUUUAGGUCUGUUCGACCUUUAAAAUCUUACAUGAUCUGAGUUCAAACCGGUGUAAGCCAGGUUGGUUUCUAUCUUUAAAUAAAUAAUAUAAUUUAGUACGAAAGGAUUUUUUAUAUAAAAUAAUUUUUAAUUAAAGAAUUUUAAUAAAAUUAAAGUAAAAAA